rnacentral:rRNA from 1 species
UACAGAGGGUGCGAGCGUUAAUCGGAAUUACUGGGCGUAAAGCGCGCGUAGGCGGCUUUGCAAGUCGGGUGUGAAAUCCCCGAGCUUAACUUGGGAAUUGCAUUUGUGACUGCCCGGCUAGAGUGUGUCAGAGGGGGGUAGAAUUCCGACGUGUAGCAGUGAAAUGCGUAGAGUAUGUGGAGGAAUACCGAGUGGCGAAGGCAGCCCCCCUGGGGAUAA